GGUGAGAUGGCCGAGCGGUCUAAGGCGCCAGACUAAGGAUCAAAGCAGUUGCUGCUUGAGUCGUGGGAUUUGAACCCACUGAUAUCUGGUCCUCCGGGGCGUGGGUUCGAAUCCCACUCUCAUCA